AUGGGUGGUGCUGCAGUGGUGGCCCUGGGGGGCCGUUGGAUUCGCCUCAGUUGCUGCUGUAAUAAAAGUCUACUUUUUGCUAAAAGCGUCCUGUGUGUGUGCGCUUCCCCGCCCAGGGAGCGGAGGUUGGGCCUUCUGGUGGCAACCGGGCGGAACCGGCCGCCAGCGCGAGGGCGGGGCCAGGAGCCAGGUGGGGCUGCCCGAAGGCGGGCGCAGAGGGAAGGCAUGAGGUGCCGCCGGUGCAGUUUCGACGCGGCCCGGGGCCCCCGGCGGCUUAUGCGCAUGGGCCUCGCUUUGAUCCUGGUGGGCCACCUGAACCUGCUGCUGGGGGCCGUGCUGCACGGCACCGUGCUACGGCACGUGGCCAAUCCCCGUGGCGCCGUCACUUCGGAGUACACCACCGCCAAUGUCAUCUCCGUGGGCUCCGGGCUGCUGAGUGCUUCCGUGGGGCUUGUGGCCCUCUUGGCAUCCAGGAACCUCCUUCGCCCACAACUGCACUGGGCCCUGCUGGCACUAGCUCUGGUGAACCUGCUCUUGUCUGCUGCCUGCUCCCUGGGUCUCCUCCUUGCUGUGUCACUCACCGUGGCCAAUGGUGGCCGCCGCCUUAUUGCUGACUGCCACCCUGGACUACUGGAUCCUUUGCUACCGCUGGACCAGGGGCCUGGACACUCAGACUGCCCCUUUGACCCCACCAGAAUCUAUGAUACAGCCUUGGCUCUCUGGAUCCCCUCUUUGCUCAUGUCUGCAGUAGAGGCUGCUCUUUCUGGUCACUGCUGUGUAGCUGCACUCACCCUACUUGGGGUUGGGCCCUGCAGGAAGGAAGGGCUACAGGAGGAGCUGGAGGAACUGACAGAGCUUGAACUUCCCAAAUGUAAAAGGAAGGAAAAUGAGCAGCUACUGGAUCAAAAUCAAGAAAUCAAGAAAUCACAGAAAAGUUGGGUUUAGGACAGGUUGAAAAGGACAUCCCGGAGAUCAGCCCAGCUGUGAUAGGCUUCAGCGCUGUUUGUCCCAGAUCCUUCAAAUCUUAAAGUGUCCCUAUCCAGGAAGCCAACCUCUGACUGAUCUGAAGAAGCCGCCAUAGGUUCUGGCUGUAGCGUCCAGCAAGCACUUAGGAGAUCCCUGCUACCUGACUGGAAACAAAAGGCACAGGAGGAAAAAGACAAUUUAUCUGAGAAGGAACGCUGUGUGUGAAUGGAGGCCCUGGGGUCAGAGGGCCAGGAAGGGUGCAGCAGGCCUCACCUUCAUCCAGCACUUUUCCACCAGGCCGCUGCUUCCUGAGUCCUGCACUUUGAGAGCCUCCAGCUGGCUGGGCACAUAGUCCUUGCAGAUCCGCAGGGCAUCGCUCCAUAAUCCAGCCUCCUGCUCAGAGUUCCAAGUAUCAGAAGGACAGAGGCAGGCAGGACAGCUUUCCACUGCCACACAGGGAGAAAAAGAAAGCCAUAUAUGAAAAGAAGGACACAAGCCUCACAGGCAGCCGUGGGACAGGAGGUUGGAAGACCUGGCAGCAGUGGACUAUGGGGUAGAAAGCAGGGUUGUGUGUCAGAGUCAAAAGCAAUGGAAAAGGACCACAUCCUUACCUCAUCCUCCAG